rnacentral:lncRNA from 10 species
CAUGCGCUGUCCAGGGCCGACGCGGUUGUAUCAUGCUGAGAAGGAGCCGGGCGGGGGCCGGCGGGGCUGCGAGGGCCCUGUGAGGAGGGGCACCUGCCACUAGAAGCGGCCUCUGGGACGUCGCGCUGAGCCCUGCUUUGGAGUCAGAGGGGCUUUCCGCCUCGGUGAACUCGAGAGUAGCAACUCUCCUCCGGGUAACCGGAGUGCCACAGCGGGCAGGCGUCAUAAGGACAGGCCUCGGAGAGGAGAGGGGCUACCCGAGAAUGGCCUCAAAAGUAUGCAUAGGAGUUGGGAAGGCAGAGGAACAAGUGUAUUCAGAGACGCAAGCCGGUUUCUGCCCGCUACUCAGGAUUGUCUGCCGUGGUGGCUUCUCACACAAGCCUGUACUUUCCUGUGGGAGAAUAUUUCCUAGGAGCCUAUAUUCCAGUUCAUCUCUGACGUCAUAAAUCAUGACUGUGUAGAAAGGGCAUAACAUGUGACACAUGGCAGCCAUUUUGGAGAUGGCCAGAUGAGAGGACAAUCAAUCCACAUGCCUAAAUGGAACCAACAGACAUGUGCCAGCUUGCUUCUCCAGCCUAUGUUCUCAGACACUUGUAGAAGACCAGAGGGAAAAUGGAAUCAGAAAAAACAGCAACAACAACAAAAAGCCAUCCAGGGCCAUGCACAGUGGCUCACUCCUGUAAUCCCAACAGUUUGGGAGGCCAAGGCAGGUGGAUUGCUUGAGCUCAGCAGUUUAAGACCAGCCUGGGCAACAUGGCGAAACCCUUUCUCUACUAAAUACAAAAACUAGCUGGGUGUGGUGGCAUGCACCUGUAGUCCCAGCUACUCGGGAGGCUGAGGUGGGAGGAUCACCUGAGCCUGGGAGGUUGAAGCUGCAGUGAGCUGUGAUGGUGCCACUGCACUCCCACCUGGGUGACAGAGCAAGACCCUGUCUCAAAAAAACAAAACUAAACAAAAAAAUCCAUGUGGGAAAAGGCCCAAUCAGAGCCAACUCACUGCUGGGAUUAGUAGAAAUGAUUAGUCACCAGAAGGCAAAUCGUGGAAGAAUGAAGAGAUGACAGGACCUCAGGAACUACACCCAGAGGUGUAGUUGUGCCGUAGGCAAAGCAUCAUGCCGGUCAUCCCCAAGAAAGGGAGAAGGGGUAGAGCUCAGACUCUUCCCUGCUUCCCCAUAAGUCCAGUUUACCCUGGGCUGAUCCUUUCAGCAUGGCAGCCUCCGUGGGGAGGCACGAGAUCCAAAGAUGAAGAUGUCUAUGGGGGUGAAGAAGAAUGGCAAACUUUGCAGGCAAGAGUAGGCAUUAGAGAGAUCAGAGGAGGAAGACAAUAGAGAAGGAUGACACAGGACAGGCUGUAUCUAGAGGAUAUAAUGCCAUGGACUUUGGACUAUUCCAGAGAGGCUGAGAGACCUGUCUCCUGCCUACAAGGCUCCUUGAACUCUGCACCCUUCUUUUUGCUAAAGUGCUGCUGAGGCCUGUCUCACUUCCCAAUGAAAAGCAACUCAGGAAAUUGGCUUCCUGCCCCACUCCUUCUUUGGGAGAGAGAAACAGAACUGAAGAGGAAGGAAGGAAGCCCAAAGAAACAGAGGCUUUCUUUCCUGGCUGAGAUUUGUUGGCACUGCCCACUAACAUAGAGAAUAAGGUGGUUCCCUAAGCGAGCCUUAAGCUGGCAUGAGGCUACAAACAAGUGAUUGUAUCUUCGUUCUGCUCAGCAGCCUACCUGGGCUGGCCUGGACAACCUCAAUUGUAUACUGAGGUCUUAAGCUGGCCAUGGCCCUUGGUAAAGCAGGAGAAAGGAAUAAGGCUGGAAGGUACAGAAUUUGCUUGAUGCCUUGCCUACAUAAUUCCUUUGCUGUUGCAACUGGCAACUCUUUGCUUGCAUUAUAUGAAAAAAAGGCGGUAAAAAAUUGUCAGAAAUGUUUGCCACCAGCCUAACCCCACUGCCCAUGCAUUGCUCCCAAGAAAGCUAAUUAAGGCCCAUUGCUAUUAGAGUUACAUGAUUCUGAAGGCUUGUUAUGACAAGAAAAAAUAAUGAAGACAUGGUUCCUCCAAGUCAUAAGCAUCCAAGUCAAAACAUACUGCAUCCCAGGCGAGUGUGGUGGCUCACGCCUGUAAUCCCAGCACUUCGGGAGGCCAAGGCAGCCGGAUCACGAGGUCAGGAGUUCGAGACCAGCCUUGCCAAGAUGAUGAAACCCCGUCUCUACUAAAAAUACAAAAAUUAGCCAGGCAUGGUGGCGGGCGCCUGUACUCCCAGCUACUCAGGAAGCUGAGGCAGGAGAAUCGCUUGAAACCGGGAGGCGGAGGUUGCAAUGAGCCGAGAUCACACCACUGCACUGUACCCUGGGCGUCAGAGCAAGACUCCAUCUCAAAAAAAAAAGAAAAAAACAUCCUGCAUCCCUUGUUCCUUUGUGUUCCCCUAGACAAGCCUCUGGGCUGGCUUUGCCUAUCUCAUGCAUGCAGGCAGUCAUCCUCCUUUGGCCAGUGCAUACCUGACUCCUACUCAGUGCCAGGCCUGGAGAAGACUGUGAGACCUGCCCUUGAGGAGUUCUGUUUGCAGGAAGAGAGUGAUAGGCACACAAAUUAUUUCCAAUAAACUACAGAAAAUGUCUGAGGAUGUAGGAGACUUGUCUUAGCUGAUUCACAGGCAGAAGAGGGGUGAAGGGGGCAUUACAUGUUGGCAGAGUUUCUGGAGUGCACACCCAGCCCUCCCAGCACAGAAAUCUAGGGGCGACGGAGCUGUUUGGAAGGCCUUUCAAAGCCCUCACCUGGAACAUUGGGAAUUGUUUAUUUUUUGAUGAGGUCAUCAGAAAUAAUCUCACCAGGUCAGAUCCCACUUGUGCUCCUGUCUCUGGGGCACCAGGGAAACUCUGACUUGGAGGAGGAGAAUCGAAGCAGAGUGGGCGCCCCUGAGUCAUGGGACAGAGAUGCAGAUGGACGGACGGAUGUUCUGCUAAAAAAGGCAAAAGAACCCCAGUGUAAUUCCAGAAUUUAAACCAUUAGGAAAAGUAGGGGGAAAAGAAUCAAAACAAGCAAAGCCGUCAGUUCCAUGGAAUCAACACUUAAGAGCUCGUACAAACUGCUGUAAGCAUCACCAUUUUAAAUCUUUUUUUUAAUAAAACAAUUUGAGG